AGCCACGCAGUGAACACAAAGAGAACUAUUCUUUCGCCUUUUACUAAAGAAUACCGUGUGCUCGUUGCAUUCAGUGGCAUACGUUUAUUUUUGGAGGGAGUUCUUUUAAAGGAGCUU
rnacentral:snRNA from 1 species